rnacentral:rRNA from 1 species
GACGAACGCUGGCGGCGUGCCUAAUACAUGCAAGUCGAACGCAUUUUCUUUCACCGUAGCUUGCUACACCGAAAGAAAAUGAGUGGCGAACGGGUGAGUAACACGUGGGUAACCUGCCCAUCAGCGGGGGAUAACACUUGGAAACAGGUGCUAAUACCGUAUAAUUCCAUUUACUGCAUGGUAGAUGGAUGAAAGGCGCUUUUGCGUCACUGAUGGAUGGACCCGCGGUGCAUUAGCUAGUUGGUGGGGUAACGGCCUACCAAGGCUGCGAUGCAUAGCCGACCUGAGAGGGUGAUCGGCCACACUGGGACUGAGACACGGCCCAGACUCCUACGGGAGGCAGCAGUAGGGAAUCUUCGGCAAUGGACGCAAGUCUGACCGAGCAACGCCGCGUGAGUGAAGAAGGUUUUCGGAUCGUAAAACUCUGUUGUUAGAAAAGAACAAGGAUGAGAGUGGAAAGUUCAUCCCUUGACGGUAUCUAACCAGAAAGCCACGGCUAACUACGUG